AAGAACCACAAUUGCAUUGAACCAUAUUGAUGGUCCAAAUAUUUCAGUAAUUGUACGCAAGAGUGGCAUGUCACUGAAAUCCCGGGUUUGCAUGUCCAACCUAUCAAGAUACAGGACAAUAUCUGGAGGCGUUUUCUUUAUAAAACGCUUAACAGAGAGAAGGAUCUUCUCAUUUUGGCGCUGGUCUGACCAAGAGGAAAGAAGGCCCGGAGUGUCAAUUACCCGUACUUUGAUCCCCUGCACAGUUCCUACAACAUCUUGAACCUUUUUUGUGCCCAUUUGAAAAGCAUCAGUACUGAAUUUAACUUCGUCGAAGAUGGAGUUGAUGGUAGCACUUUUGCCCACACCUGUCUUUCCAAGA
rnacentral:misc_RNA from 1 species